AGGGAAGGCAACAUCGCGAGGUGAAGCAAAUCCCAAAAAAGUAGUCUCAGUUCAGAUUGUAGGCUGCAACUCGCCUACAUGAAGUCGGAAUUGCUAGUAAUCGCGGAUCAGCAUGCCGCGGUGAAUACGUUCCCGGGCCUUGUACACACCGCCCGUCACACCAUGAGAGCCGGUAACACCCGAAGUCAGUAGCCUAACCGCAAGGGGGGCGCUGCCGAAGGUGGGAUUGGUAAUUGGGGUGAAGUCGUAACAAGGUAAC
rnacentral:rRNA from 1 species